AUUGAACGCUGGCGGCAUGCCUUACACAUGCAAGUCGAACGGCAGCGGACCUUCGGGUGCCGGCGAGUGGCGAACGGGUGAGUAAAGUAUCGGAACGUACCUUUCAGUGGGGGAUAACGUAGCGAAAGUUACGCUAAUACCGCAUAUUCUGUGAGCAGGAAGGCAGGGGAUCGCAAGACCUUGCGCUGAUUGAGCGGCCGAUAUCAGAUUAGCUAGUUGGUGAGGUAAAGGCUCACCAAGGCGACGAUCUGUAGCGGGUCUGAGAGGAUGAUCCGCCACACUGGAACUGAGACACGGUCCAGACUCCUACGGGAGGCAGCAGUGGGGAAUUUUGGACAAUGGGGGCAACCCUGAUCCAGCCAUGCCGCGUGAGUGAAGAAGGCCUUCGGGUUGUAAAGCUCUUUCGUCCGGGAAGAAAUCGCAUCAGCUAAUACCUGGUGUGGAUGACGGUACCGGAAUAAGAAGCACCGGCUAACUACGUGCCAGCCGCCGCAGUAAUAC
rnacentral:rRNA from 1 species